ensembl:snoRNA
AUUUUUGUGUGGCUCAUAAGCAAGAUGAUUGGGUUUUCACACCCAAGUGUGAGAUGUACCUCCUUCAAACCUUGUUACAACAUCAGCACUUACCCAUUUGAUG